UUGUUUUAUCAGCUUAUGAAACCACUCUGAAAGAGGGGCUUCAUUUCGAGAAGAGGAUGUUCCACGGCACAUUUGCGACGGCUGACAGGAAGGAAGGGAUGUCCGCGUUCGUCGAGAAAAGAUCGCCGAAAUUCACCAACCAGUAGAACUGAGUAUACUCAACUUAACGUUAACGUGCAAUCGAAUACUUAUUUUUGUAUUGAGAAUUUUGUAAUACUUUUUAUAUUGUUGUUCAAAUAAAAAUGGUUCCUAAUCGUUUUAAAUGAAGGGGGCAAAGACAAGACG